UACAGAGGUCUCAAGCGUUGUUCGGAUUCAUUGGGCGUAAAGGGUGUGUAGGUGGCGCCGUAAGUCGGGUGUGAAAUUUCGGAGCUUAACUCCGAAACUGCAUUCGAUACUGCCGUGCUUGAGGACUGGAGAGGAGACUGGAAUUUACGGUGUAGCGGUGAAAUGCGUAGAUAUCGUAAGGAAGACCAGUGGCGAAGGCGGGUCUCGUGGACAGUUCCUGACGCUGAGGCACGGAAGGCCAGGGGAGCAAACGGG
rnacentral:rRNA from 1 species